GGUUAAGUUAUUAAGGGCAUACGGUGGAUGCCUUGGUACGAGAAGUCGAUGAAGGACGCGAUUACCUGCGAUAAGCCUCGGAUAGGUGGAAAUAACCUAAUACCCGGGGAUUUCCUAAUGGGGCAACCCGUCAUGAGUAAUGUCAUGACAUCUUCACCUGAAUACAUAGGGUGUAUGAAGACAACCCGGGGAACUGAAACAUCUCAGUACCCGGAGGAAGAGAAAACAAUAGUGAUUUCCUUAGUAGCGGCGAGCGAAAAGGAAACAGUCUAAACCUUCUAACAUGUUAAAGGAAGCAACCGUUGUGUUAGAGGUGUUGUGGGAUAUAUUCUGGCUGAAUUGCUAAUAAGUCGGAGAGUAAAAAAUUAUACUAUUAACUAAAUGUUCUGGAAAGUUCAACCAUAGAAGGUGAUAGUCCUGUAAGUGAAAAUAGUAUAACUCUCUGGGAUGUAUUCCCAAGUAUCACGGAGUAAGUGGAAGUCUGUGAAAAUCCGGGAGAACCAUCUCCUAAGACUAAAUACUCUCUCGUAACCGAUAGUGAAUCAGUACCGUGAGGGAAAGGUGAAAAGAACUCCUAGUAGGAGAGUGAAAUAGUACCUGAAACCGUAUGCUUACAAACGGUUGGAGUCCCGAUUUAUCGGGAUGACAGCGUGCCUUCUGGAUAAUGAGCCAACGAGUUACUCGUGUGUGGCAAGGUUAAAGGCUUUAGGCCAGUAGCCAUAGCGAAAGCGAGUCCUAAAUGGGCGUUUUAGUUACAUGCGGUAGACGCGAAACCGAGUGAUCUACCCUUGUCCAGGAUGAAGUGAGGGUAAAACCUCAUGGAGGUCCGAACUAGUGUGGGUUGAAAACCGCUUGGAUGAGGUAAGGGUAGGAGCGAAAGACCAAUCAAACUCGGAAAUAGCUCGUAUUCCUCGAAAUAGCUUUAGGGCUAGCCUCGAGUAUAUAGUGUAACGGAGGUAGAGCACUGAUUGGGCUAGGGCUGUCACAACGGUACCAAACCCAGACAAACUCCGAAUUCCGUUUACAUGUUUCUCGGGAGUCAGGCAGUGGGGGAUAAGCUUCAUUGCCAAAAGGGAAACAACCCAGACCAACAACUAAGGUCCCUAAAUAGUAGUUAACAGAGAAAGGAUGUUCAAUUGCUCAGACAACUAGGAUGUUGGCUUAGAAGCAGCCAUUCAUUUAAAGAGUGCGUAAUAGCUCACUAGUCAAGCGAUCGAGCGUCGACAAUUUCCGGGACUUAAACUACUUACCGACGUUAUGGUCCCGCCUAUGGCGGGAGGUAGAGGAACAUUCUAUAUGCAUUGAAGGUGUGUUGCGAGACAUGCUGGAGUUUAUAGAAAAGCAAAUGUUGGCAUAAGUAACGAUAAGAUCGAUGAAAAAUCGAUCCACCGAAAAUCUAAGGUUUCCUGAGCAAUGUUAGUCAUCUCAGGGUUAGUCGAUUCCUAAGCCGAGGCUGAAAGGCGUAGGCGAUGGAAAACAGGUUAAUAUUCCUGUACCUGGUAAAUUUCGUUUGAACAUAAGGAGUGACGCAGGAGUGAAGGUUAGCCACCUGUUGGAUUAGGUGGUCUAAGCGUGUAGGUUUGAGAUGCAGGCAAAUCCGCAUCUCUUUAAGACCGAGACGUGAACGGGAUGGCUUUGCCAAUAAACUAACCGUAAUCAUACUGCCGAGAAAAACUUCGUAUGUAAGAAAUUUAUCAGAUCGUACCGUAAACCGACACAGGUAGAUGGGAAGAGUAUUCUUAGGUGCUCGAGUGAGCCGUGGUUAAGGAACUCGGCAAAUUAACCCCGUAACUUCGGGAAAAGGGGUGCCCCUAGUAAGUGAAAUCCUUGCGGAUGUAGCUGAAUGGGGCCGCAGUGAAAAGGCCCAAGCGACUGUUUAACAAAAACACAUGUCUCUGCGAAGUCAAUCAAGACGAUGUAUAGGGACUGACACCUGCCCGGUGCUGGAAGGUUAAGAGGAGAUGUCAUCGCAAGAGAAGCAUUGAAUCGAAGCCCCAGUAAACGGCGGCCGUAACUAUAACGGUCCUAAGGUAGCGAAAUUCCUUGUCG
rnacentral:ncRNA from 1 species